GACGAACGCUGGCGGCGUGCCUAAUACAUGCAAGUAGAACGCACAGUUUAUACCGUAGCUUGCUACACCAUAAACUGUGAGUUGCGAACGGGUGAGUAACGCGUAGGUAACCUGCCUGGUAGCGGGGGAUAACUAUUGGAAACGAUAGCUAAUACCGCAUAAUAUUGAUUAUUGCAUGAUAAUUGAUUGAAAGAUGCUAUUGCAUCACUACCAGAUGGACCUGCGUUGUAUUAGCUAGUAGGUGAGGUAACGGCUCACCUAGGCGACGAUACAUAGCCGACCUGAGAGGGUGAUCGGCCACACUGGGACUGAGACACGGCCCAGACUCCUACGGGAGGCAGCAGUAGGGAAUCUUCGGCAAUGGACGAAAGUCUGACCGAGCAACGCCGCGUGAGUGAAGAAGGUUUUCGGAUCGUAAAGCUCUGUUGUAAGAGAAGAACGGGUGUGAGAGUGGAAAGUUCACACUGUGACGGUAUCUUACCAGAAAGAGACGGCUAACUACGUG
rnacentral:rRNA from 1 species